CACUCCUGCGGGAGGCAGCAGUGGGGAAUUUUGGACAAUGGGCGAAAGCCUGAUCCAGCAAUGCCGCGUGAGUGAAGAAGGCCUUCGGGUUGUAAAGCUCUUUUGUCAGGGAAGAAACGGUGAAAGCUAAUAUCUUUUGCUAAUGACGGUACCUGACGAAUAAGCACCGGCUAACUACGUGCCAGCAGCCGCGGUAAUACGUAGGGUGCAAGCGUUAAUCGGAAUUACUGGGCGUAAAGCGUGCGCAGGCGGUUUUGUAAGUCUGAUGUGAAAUCCCCGGGCUCAACCUGGGAAUUGCAUUGGAGACUGCAAGGCUAGAAUCUGGCAGAGGGGGGUAGAAUUCCACGUGUAGCAGUGAAAUGCGUAGAUAUGUGGAGGAACACCGAUGGCGAAGGCAGCCCCCUGGGUCAAGAUUGACGCUCAUGCACGAAAGCGUGGGGAGCAAACAGUAUUAGAUACCCCUGUAGUCCCAU
rnacentral:rRNA from 1 species